GAUGGUCUCAUAUAUAUGUAUGUGUGUGUGUGUGUGUGUGUGUGUGUGUAUAUAUAUAUAUACACACACACAUAUGUAUAUAUAUGCAUACACAUUUG
rnacentral:miRNA from 1 species